rnacentral:tRNA from 1 species
GGGCUCUUGGCACAGGGGUAGCGCGCACGCUUCGCAUGGUCGAUAUGCGUGAGGUCGUGGGUUCAAUUCCCACAGUGUCCA